UCCCGUGUAGUCUAGCGGUUAGGAUUCCUGGCUUUCACCCAGGCGGCCCGGGUUCGACUCCCGGCGCGAAAG
rnacentral:tRNA from 1 species